rnacentral:rRNA from 1 species
GGCCCGCACAAGCGGUGGAGUAUGUGGUUUAAUUCGACGCAACGCGCAGAACCUUACCCAAUCUUAACAUCCCGUGAACGAAACAGAAAUGUAUCGGUGCCCUUUUGGGAACACGGUGAUAGGUGCUGCAUGGCUGUCGUCAGCUCGUGUCGUGAGAUGUUCGGUUAAGUCCGGUAACGAGCGCAACCCCUAUCCUUAGUUGCCAAUGAUGGAACUCUAAGGAGACUGCCGGUGUCAAACCGGAGGAAGGUGGGGACGACGUCAAGUCCUCAUGGCCCUUACGAUUGGGGCUACACACGUACUACAAUGGCAACUACAGUGGGAAGCAAGACCGCGAGGUGGAGCAAAUCCCCAAAAGUUGCCUCAGUUCGGAUUGUACUCUGCAACUCGAGUACAUGAAGGCGGAAUCGCUAGUAAUCGCAGGUC